rnacentral:snRNA from 1 species
GUGCUUGUUUCUGUAGCACAUAUGCUAAAAUUGGAACGAUACGGAGAAGAUUAGCAUGGCCCCUGAGCAAGGAUGGCACACAAAUUCAUGAAGUGUUCCAUAUUUUU